rnacentral:rRNA from 1 species
UACAGAGGUCCCAAGCGUUGUUCGGAUUCACUGGGCGUAAAGAGCGUGUAGGCGGCCAGACAGGUCCGUUGUGAAAACUCGAGGCUCAACCUCGAGACGCCGAUGGAAACCGUUUGGCUAGAGUCCGGAAGAGGAGAGUGGAAUUCCUGGUGUAGCGGUGAAAUGCGCAGAUAUCAGGAAGAACACCCGUGGCUAAGGCGGCUCUCUAGUACGGUACUGACGCUGAGACGCGAAAGCGUGGGGAGCGAACAGG